rnacentral:rRNA from 1 species
GACGAACGCUGGCGGCGUGCUUAACACAUGCAAGUCGAACGGAAAGGCCCCCACCUUGGUGGGGGUGCUCGAGUGGCGAACGGGUGAGUAACACGUGGGUGAUCUGCCCUGUACUUCGGGAUAAGCUUGGGAAACUGGGUCUAAUACCGGAUAGGACCAUGGUUUAGUGUCUCAUGGUGGAAAAAUUAUUGUUUUGGUGCAGGAUGAGCUCGCGGCCUAUCAGCUUGUUGGUGGGGUAAUGGCCUACCAAGGCGUCGACGGGUAGCCGGCCUGAGAGGGUGGACGGCCACAUUGGGACGGAGACACGGCCCAGACUCAUACGGGAGGCAGCAGUGGGGAAGAUUGCAGAAUGGGCGCAAGCCUGAUGCAGCGACGCCGCGUGGGGGAGGACGGCCUUCGGGUUGUAAACUCCUUUCGUUAGGGACGAAGCCACACCUUUUUUGGGUGUGGUGACGGUACCUUUGUUAAGAAGCACCGGCUAACUACGUG